UACGUAGGGCGCAAGCGUUAUCCGGAAUUAUUGGGCGUAAAGAGCUCGUAGGCGGUUUGUCGCGUCUGAUGUGAAAGACCGGGGCUCAACUCCGGUUCUGCAGUGGGUACGGGCAGACUAGAGUGAUGUAGGGGAGACUGGAAUUCCUGGUGUAGCGGUGAAAUGCGCAGAUAUCAGGAGGAACACCGAUGGCGAAGGCAGGUCUCUGGGCAGUAACUGACGCUGAGGAGCGAAAGCAUGGGGAGCGAACAGG
rnacentral:rRNA from 1 species